rnacentral:rRNA from 1 species
AUAGCGUAUAUUAAAGUUGUUGUGGUUAAAAAGCUCGUAGUUGAACCUUGGGCCUGGCUGGCCGGUCCGCCUCACCGCGUGUACUGGUCCGGCCGGGCCUUUCCCUCUGUGGAACCCCAUGCCCUUUAUUGGGUGUGGGGGGGAACCAGGACUUUUACUUUGAAAAAAUUAGAGUGUUCAAAGCAGGCCUAUGCCCGAAUACAUUAGCAUGGAAUAAUAAAAUAGGACGUGCGGUUCUAUUUUGUUGGUUUCUAGGAUCGCCGUAAUGAUUAAUAGGGAUAGUUGGGGGCAUUAGCAUUCAGUUGCUAGAGGUGAAAUUCUUGGAUUUACUGAAGACUAACUACUG